rnacentral:rRNA from 1 species
CCCUUAGAUGUUCUGGGCCGCACGCGCGCUACACUGAUGCAUUCAGCGAGUCCAUCCUUGCCCGAAAGGGCUGGGUAAUCUUUUGAAAUUGCAUCGUGAUGGGGCUUGCGGGUUGCAACUACCCGCACCAACGAGGAAUUCCUAGUAAACGCAAGUCAACAACUUGCAUUGAUUACGUCCCUGCCCUUUGUACACACCGCCCGUCGCUCCUACCGAUUGAGCAUCCCGGUGAAGACUCAGGAGAUAUGUACGUGGCUGGUCUCCAGCUGCGUUGCGUGCCGAAUUUGUCUAAACCUCGAUGCUUAGAGGAAGGAGAAGUCGUAACA